rnacentral:rRNA from 1 species
CCGGAGAAUGUUAUCACGGGAGACACACGGCGGGUGCUAACGUCCGUCGUGAAGAGGGAAACAACCCAGACCGCCAGCUAAGGUCCCAAAGUCAUGGUUAAGUGGGAAACGAUGUGGGAAGGCCCAGACAGCCAGGAUGUUGGCUUAGAAGCAGCCAUCAUUUAAAGAAAGCGUAAUAGCUCACUGGUCGAGUCGGCCUGCGCGGAAGAUGUAACGGGGCUAAACCAUGCACCGAAGCUGCGGCAGCGACACUCAGGUGUUGUUGGGUAGGGGAGCGUUCUGUAAGYCUGCGAAGGUGGCCUGUGAGGGUUGCUGGAGGUAUCAGAAGUGCGAAUGCUGACAUAAGUAACGAUAAAGCGGGUGAAAAGCCCGCUCGCCGGAAGACCAAGGGUUCCUGUCCAACGUUAAUCGGGGCAGGGUGAGUCGACCCCUAAGGCGAGGCCGAAAGGCGUAGUCGAUGGGAAACGGGUUAAUAUUCCCGUACUUGGUGUUACUGCGAAGGGGGGACGG